AGCUCCAAUAGCGUAUAUUAAAGUUGUUGCGGUUAAAAAGCUCGUAGUUGGAUUUCUGCUGAAGCAAACCGGUCCGCCCUCUGGGUGAGCAUCUGGCUUUAUUUUGGCAUAUGCUUAGACUUUGCAGCUGCACUUGACUGUGUGGUGUGAAGGCUAAGCCAUUUACUUUGAGGAAAUCAGAGUGUUUCAAGCAGGCAAUUGCCUUGAAUACACUAGCAUGGAAUAAUAUGAUAUGACUGUGGUUUUAUUUUGUUGGCUUCUAGAAUUAGAGUAAUGGUUAAUAGGGAUAGUUGGGGGCAUUCAUAUUUAACUGUCAGAGGUGAAAUUCUUGGAUUUGUUAAGGAUGAACGACUGCGAAAGCAUUUGCCAAGGAUGCUUUCAUUG
rnacentral:rRNA from 1 species